AGGAUGAACGCUAGCGGCAGGCUUAACACAUGCAAGUCGAGGGGCAGCGCGGGUAGCAAUACCUGGCGGCGACCGGCGAAAGGGUGCGUAACGCGUGAGCAACAUUCCCGUAUUGGGGGAUAAGCAGUGGAAACGCUGUCUAAUACCCCAUAACAACAGAGACUGCAUGGUCUUUGUUUGAAAGAUUCGUCGAAUACGGAUUGGCUCGCGUGGCAUUAGCUAGUCGGCGGGGUAACGGCCCACCGAGGCGACGAUGCCUAGGGGUCUGAGAGGAAGACCCCCCACAUUGGGACUGAGACACGGCCCAAACUCCUACGGGAGGCAGCAGUGAGGAAUAUUGGUCAAUGGACGGAAGUCUGAACCAGCCAUGCCGCGUGAAGGAUGACUGCCCUUAAUGGGUUGUAAACUUCUUUUGCAGCAGAGCAAUAAGGUGUACGUGUACACCGAUGAGAGUAUGUUGCGAAUAAGCAUCGGCUAACUCCGUGCCAGCAGCUGC
rnacentral:rRNA from 1 species